rnacentral:rRNA from 1 species
UACAGAGGUCUCAAGCGUUGUUCGGAUUCAUUGGGCGUAAAGGGUGCGUAGGUGGCGCGCUAAGUCAGGUGUGAAAUCUCGGGGCUUAACUCCGAAACUGCAUUUGAUACUGGCGUGCUUGAGGACUGGAGAGGAGACUGGAAUUUACGGUGUAGCAGUGAAAUGCGUAGAGAUCGUAAGGAAGACCAGUGGCGAAGGCGGGUCUCUGGACAGUUCCUGACGCUGAGGCACGAAGGUCAGGGGAGCAAACGGG